GGGGAUUAGUGGCGAACGGGUGAGUAACACGUGGGCAAUCUGCCCUGCACUCUGGGACAAGCCCUGGAAACGGGGUCUAAUACCGGAUAUGACUGUCCAUCGCAUGGUGGAUGGUGUAAAGCUCCGGCGGUGCAGGAUGAGCCCGCGGCCUAUCAGCUUGUUGGUGAGGUAGUGGCUCACCAAGGCGACGACGGGUAGCCGGCCUGAGAGGGCGACCGGCCACACUGGGACUGAGACACGGCCCAGACUCCUACGGGAGGCAGCAGUGGGGAAUAUUGCACAAUGGGCGAAAGCCUGAUGCAGCGACGCCGCGUGAGGGAUGACGGCCUUCGGGUUGUAAACCUCUUUCAGCAGGGAAGAAGCGAAAGUGACGGUACCUGCAGAAGAAGCGCCGGCUAACUACGUGCCAGCAGCCGCGGUAAUACGUAGGGCGCAAGCGUUGUCCGGAAUUAUUGGGCGUAAAGAGCUCGUAGGCGGCUUGUCACGUCGGUUGUGAAAGCCCGGGGCUUAACCCCGGGUCUGCAGUCGAUACGGGCAGGCUAGAGUUCGGUAGGGGAGAUCGGAAUUCCUGGUGUAGCGGUG
rnacentral:rRNA from 1 species